UCUUUUCUUUUGUCUGGCGACCGGCGCACGGGUGAGUAACACGUAUCCAACCUGCCCUUUACUCGGGGAUAGCCUUUCGAAAGAAAGAUUAAUACCCGAUAGUAUAAUGAUUCCGCAUGGUUUCAUUAUUAAAGGAUUCCGGUAAAGGAUGGGGAUGCGUUCCAUUAGGUUGUCGGUGAGGUAACGGCUCACCAAGCCUUCGAUGGAUAGGGGUUCUGAGAGGAAGGUCCCCCACAUUGGAACUGAGACACGGUCCAA
rnacentral:rRNA from 1 species